GAACGCGUCGCGGCCGGGCGCGCCGCCGACGUGGUCGAAGACCACGUCCACCGGGCCGCCGGCACGGGCCUGGUCCGUCCAGCCGGGCUGCGUGUA
rnacentral:tRNA from 1 species